AUGGCCAAAACCACUAGUAUACUUCAGGAUAUGAGUGCCAAAGAUCCGGACUUCAAAGUUUGCGUGCAAGUAGACGGUGAAAGCAGGGUGAAAACAGUAAUAUGGUGUAAUGGUAAAAACCGUCUAGAUUAUGCACAUUUUGGUGAGGUGGUUACUUUCGAUACCACUUACAGGACCAACCUGUAUAACAUGCCAUUUGGGCUUUUUGUUGGUGUCAAUAACCAUUUCCAGUCUAUUAUUUUUGGUGGCGUCCUCAUGAUGAUGAAAAGACUCCUACAUUUGAGUGGGCAUUUAGAAAUUUUAUUGACUUGA
rnacentral:rRNA from 1 species